rnacentral:siRNA from 1 species
GUGAAGUGAGGCGCUUACCUC